GGAAUCUGUGAAGGCGGUACCUCUUUGCUGACGUAAAGUUCACCACCGGAAGAAGGUUACAUGCACGGUAUUCAAGAUGGCGGCCCCCUUAUGUCAGUGUUACCAGAUAUGUCUAAGAAGAGGUUUGGUUGCCUCCCCUUCCUGUUACCUGCUGCUACCGAACAGAACCAAUGUUUACAGGACAUGCGGGCUCCCAUCAAGAUCUUCACAGCCUCCUCUUCUUCAGGUGCGGUAUAUGUCAGGAGAGAAAGGCAGAGGGAGAAAAGGUUUCUUGGGGGAGUUUUUGGAUAACCUCAAGCAGGAACUGAACAAAAACAAAGAAAUGAAAGAAAACAUCAAGAAGUUUCGGGAAGAGGCCAAAAAACUUGAAGAGUCAGAUGCACUGAAACAAGCUCGGAGGAAAUAUAAAACCAUAGAAUCAGAAACGGCGAAGACCUCAGAGGUUCUGAAGAAGAAGUUGGGAACCAUUUCUGAGACUGUUAAAGAGGGGCUGGAAGAGGUCAGUCGUUCAGAAAUUGGUAAGAAAAUCAAGGAGGGAAUGGAGGAAGCAGCAAAAACAGCAAAGACUUCUGCAGAAACGGUCUCCAAGAGUGGAGAGAUGCUGGGGAAGACGGGUGCGUUCAAAGCAAUAUCUCAGAGCGUGGAGAGUGUGAAGAAGGAGAUCGGUGACCUUGGCCAAACAGGACCUUACAGACCUCCAGCCCGACUCCGAAAGAGGACAGAGUUCUCGUCCAAAGGACCAGGGGAAGGCGGAAAGGUCUUCGAAGCCAAUGAGGAAGCUACGGGUGUGGUGUUGCACAAAGACUCAAAAUGGUACCAGCAAUGGAAAGACUUCAAGGACAACAAUGUGGUCUUUAAUAGGUUCUUUGAGAUGAAAAUGAAGUAUGAUGAGAGUGACAACGUCAUCAUCAGAGCUUCCCGUGCCGUCACUGACAAGAUGACAGACAUCAUAGGUGGUCUGUUUUCAAAGACAGAAAUGUCAGAGGUUUUAACUGAGAUCUUGAAGGUGGAUCCAUCUUUUGACAAGGAUUCUUUCCUGAAGCAAUGUGAACAAGAUAUCAUCCCAAAUAUUCUCGAGGCGAUGAUCAGAGGGGAGCUGGAGGUACUGAAGGACUGGUGUUAUGAAGCGACAUACAGCCAGCUUGCUCAUCCUAUUCAGCAAGCCAAAGCUAUGGGACUUCAGUUCCACUCUAAGAUUCUGGACAUAGACAAUAUAGACCUGGCCAUGGGAAAGAUGAUGGAGCAGGGUCCAGUGCUGAUUAUAACUUUCCAGGCUCAGUUGGUGAUGGUGAUUCGAAACACUAAGGGAGAGGUGGUGGAGGGAGACCCUGAUAAAGUGCUCAGGAUGAUGUACGUGUGGGCUCUGUGUCGAGACCAGGAAGAGCUAAAUCCAUAUGCUGCCUGGAGACUACUGGACAUCUCCGCCUCGAGUACUGAGCAGAUCCUCUAGGACUCCUUGAUAUGCACAAAACGCACCAACCCAGGAAGAGAACACGCUGCACCCGAACAGGUCCAGGAGCAGCCUGGAGAGACGAGACAUAGAGGAAGACCUAUGGGAAUCAGCCGAUAUGGCACGGGCAUUUCAGCACAAAAACACUGUGGCGAAGUGUUACUAACCACUAACGGUAGGUUGGAGUCGUGCCUGAACCAGUGAAUUUCAUCCCUUCGCACCAACAGGACUGCACUGUAAGUAAAAUGCAAAUAUGAGCUUUUUUCUGAGAAAUUGCACCAAGCUGUGUCUAUAUGACAGGUUAAAAUCCUUCUGUCUACAUCUGUCUGUUGAGUUUGCCUAUUGAGACAAACAUCAUUGACAAACUAUUGAGUUUGUUGGGAUUUGUGAGUUCUGUGACACUAACAUAAGAAUGAAAUUCAAAACCAUAUUUCUCAAGUAACAUCUUUUUAAUCUGUAUCUUUAGGAUUUUUUUUAUUCCUGAGAGUACAAAGAGUUACUUUGUUGGAUUAUUUGCAGGUUUUAGUUCUGCAUACUCAUGUCACAAUUUGUAAAAGGGUUUUUGUCCAUUUUGCUCCUUUUACAUGCAACAAGCAGCAGAUAAAAUAGAAAGUCAUAACUAGUUUCAUUGAUUGCCUUUAAUUCCAAAUUACUAGUAAUAGAAGUAUUUUUUUUAUCUGAUUCAAGUUCAAGCACUUGUAUUUAGUAAUCCACUUGUAGAAUUUUAAACUAGACCUUUAAUUUCACUGUCACUAUUUUUCUUAGUGUUUUAUUUAUCUUUCUUUGUAAAUUGUGACCCUAUGUCAUCCUGAUUUUCUAAAACAGUAUUUGACUAAAAAGAGGCAGACAAAAUGAUAAAUAAAAACAUUUAAUAUUAUUCUGUAAUUCUUCUUCUUCUUUGUUUUUCAGUUCUCCAUUUUGAAAAAUCUCCAUCCAUUAGCUAAUUUCACUUUCAGUUCUAUUAUCACCUCCCCACAAUCCACCCCUUUCCUCCUCUCAGCUUCUUUCUAAAUCGAAUCCUCUGUCCACCGAGGACAUCAUCAGCAAGUCCACUCUAAUUGCAAGGAGCAGAUUCUUUAGAGAUUCUGCUGAGAGGAGGAAAAACAAUGGCUGCAAAUGCUAUUUCUAUUGAUCAGCCAGCGUCUCUGUCCUCCGUCCUUCCUUCCAGCCGGCCGUGUUGAGUGUUUCUGUUCAGAAAUGUGAGGUUUCUUAAGAUUUAGAGGGUUGGGUGCUCAUAUCAACCUCUGAAUGAAAAAAAAAGUAUACAUUUUAUAGCAGGGCAGGAAAAUGUGACCUUAAACGCAGGCGGCUCCUCUGAAAAGGUACGUCGAAGUUCAAAGGUUGUCUGGAAAAGCAUCAAGCAGGGCCAUUAGUGUCAUACUUACACAGUGCAGACAACCCAAAAGUCUGUCUGAAGAAAUUUAUCACUUCAAGGAAUCAGAGUGAGUAGCCUGUGUGUUGGACCUUUGAGGGCAAAGCCAGAGUAUAUCAUAACGAAAGAGCGUGUUGGCAGGGGAUACAUCAACACGUAAUGGGAAGCCUAGAAGAGCUCAGCAAAACAAAGUAACUCAUUUUUAGUGCAGAGUACACUGUGAGUCAUGUCUUUUACUUUAUACCCUUAAUGUUGGCCAGUGGGUAGUGUCAGAUUGCAUCACUUCAAGCUGCAGAUGACUGAAUCAGAUCAGGGUCAUAGGUUAAAGGAUAGCAGGGCAGAGCUACGGGCRCUGCCCUGUCUGCGCUUACUGACAUCCAAUGUCAGUCUGAGUCUGGGUAAAGGGGUAUAACUUUUACUUUAUUCCCUGCAUGGGGUUCUGAAUAAAUAAUCACAAACAAGCAGACUCUGCACUCUUUAGGUGACGUUUGAAUUUGUCAAGAGUAUAUAUUUAUGGGUGUCAGAAUAAAGGGAUCUGUAUACUGUAUGCAUGUAUGCCUCUUUUUUUUUAUUUCAUUUGGAAAAAAUUUUGAAUACCACUUAUUAAUUUUUCUAUUUCUUCCCAACAUGCAUUGCUUUAUGUGGCUCUUUCACAUAAAAUCCUAAUAAAAUGGAUCAAAGUAUUUGAUGAUCACUUUGAUUAUUUCAAUUCUUUGAUCAUGCAAGGUGUUGUUUUCUUUACUUGGUGAUACUUUGUGCGCUCUUAUGCAUUCCUGCAGUUAUUAUUUCCAUCUGUAGGACUUGUUUCCAUUCCUCAUAGAUUUAUGCUUAGUUUUUUGGUGUUCAGAUUAAAGGUUUCGACAUCAUCACCAAUUUACCAGGUAAAAUGUUGAUGUUCAGCCAUCUUUCAUUGCUACAAUAGAAAUUUGAAGGUCUGCAUAUCACUUAUUUGCUUCAAGGUUAAUAAAAAGAGAAAGAUAUCAAAAGUUUGGAUAAUUUUAAGUCUGUUCAGCGUAUCUGACUUGCAGAAACAGCAAUCACCAAACAGCAAAAGUCUGCUCAUUAAGGAUUAUUGCUCACUUAUGUGUGGAUUUAGGAAAUGGAUGACCUGCGAUAAGACAAGGUUCAGCACUGCUAAUUAGUCCACGCCCGCUCUUUUUUAGAAUGGGAUUUUGAAAUUAACUUUAAUUACACAGUCCAUUGAUUAAACUUUUACGAUCAUCUCACUCAACUUCACAACAUAAGUCACACUAAUAUACUUUUAUGUUCACGAGUCUGAAGCAUUUUCCCCCGGCCUUCCGUGGCAAAUAACACCAGUGUCAGGCUGACAUAUUUAAUCCGCCACACUAUUCUCAUGAGAAUCUGCCACAGGCUAAUCAUGCAUCAAAGAAUAAUUGCAGUCAUUUAAAAGUAAUGCGUGAAUGGUGUUUGAUUAUCACUGUCCCAGCAGUCCGCUAUUUCCCAGCAAUCCACAUCCUUCAGACCGGAGGCAAGGACUGAAGUCUGCUUAUUGCUUAUGAACGUUCACACCACUUAAGGAUAAGUACCGUUUCUUUAUGAGUUUCCUUUACGAGGAAACCCGUGUUUUCUUAUUCAGCAGCUGAAGGUUAUGUCAGAAUGGCCUAAAAGUCAAAAUGUUCAAUAGACCAAGAAACUCACCAAACCAAUGAUUUGAUCUCAAAGUCACCAAAUGUUAUUUAUUCAGAGCUACAGCUGCUCCCAUAAUGUGCUCACACUUCUUUAAAAUACCAAGUUUUUUUCUAAUAUGAAGAGGUGGGACUUUUUCAGUGUUGUUCGUUGAGGUCCACUGUACUCUUCCAGGCAUCUUGUUUUAUAGUCAUUUGUUUCAUGUGCUGCAUUAAAAUACACACACAAGUGUGGCUCCAGUUAACUUAAAUCCAAUGCCAUAAUCAGCCAAGACUUUCCAAAGGAAUUAUGUUUGUAUAAAUGAUGAAUUUAAAAAAAAGAAGUAAAGAUUCUAAAUGUCUUUACACAGAAAAUAUGUAAACUAAUUACAGGUCAGAUGAUGUGUGAAACUGUGUCUUUAUAUACUCUAUAUGAAGAUAUAUGGCCUCCAUUGUGAGUAUGAAACCUUUUGAGGUUAGUUUUACACCAUACUCAGUAUUAUUUUAUUGGUGAUGAAAAAAAAAUAUGUUCUAAAAAUAAAUCUCGAGAAGAAACUACAUAUAAGAUAAAUUAUGUGAAUUUGACCUCUCAACAAAAAGUGCUUUACAAUCCAGCCGAAAAUGCGUAAUGCCAUUUUACAGUCUGUUUUUCCUACAACCUCCUCAUUUAAAUCAUCUGUUUAGACAUUUUCCCCCCAUUUUUCAAUCUCCUCACUGGACAUAUUUCCAUUCUGUCUGUUUCCAUCGUAGCACCCAUCUAUCUCCACCAAAGGCCAGUCAGGUGGCCUGAACGAUGCAGGAGCAGCCUGUGGCUCCCUAAAUGGCGCGCCACAGAGUUGGUGUUCACUUUGGAGUGACGGAUCGUCCCGCCCAGCCUGGCGGAAUAAAUAGAGGCAUUAGCAGCUCUACGACUGGCCCACGCUGCUGCCGAGGCUUACUGGUCUGUGAGCUGUGCAGCACGGCAGCUUCCUGGGCGCAGCCACAGUGUGAUGAAAGGCUGAUAUUCCUCCAUAAACCAUAUUAAAGUCAGAUCACAUGAUGAAUACCAGGCGAAGGACUGGAGGGAAGGAAAAGAUGGAGGCAGGAGGACGGAAGUUCAGGAAGUGGGAGAGCGAGCUUAUGAUAAAAUAUGGAAAAGAGAGGAAAUUAAAUCCAAGACAAAAAUAUCAAAGCUGCUCCCCUUUUUGCGCCUCUGUAUCCCCCAUUUUCUGGUGACUGAUGAAAAGAGCAGAGGCACUUCUGAAUUUUUAAUGAAUCCCCUUUGGGCCUCAAUUUGUCUUCUGGUCUUUGUGUGGCCUGCAGUCUGGGCAGAAAGGUUCCUGUGCAUUUGCUUCACUUCACCCAGCUCAGGUGUUCUCCAAAAGGCAGCCUUCACUUUUUGUCAUGAUCUGUCCAUCCCUGAGUGACAAUCUGUCAUAACACAUGCUGUGUUUGCUCUGAAAACUCUAAGACGGUUCAAGCUACUAGCAGAACACAAAAAUGUACUCCACUUGUGUUUAAGUGUCUAAAGUUAUUUGUUUGGAGAAUCAGGAAGAAGAAAUCCAACUGAAUCCAAAAAACGUAACUACAUCUCGUUUCUUUUCUUAUGUUCUGACUUUUCACUGGGAUUGAAAACUAUUUAAAUCUUACCACAACAGUAUUAAACUACACACCAAUAAUAAUAAUAAUAAUAAUAAUAAUAAUAAUAGUAGUAAUAAUAAUAGAUGGAGUAGUAAUAAUAGUAAAUAUAACUGUCAGUAUUUACUAAACAUUGAGGAAACCUAAGUAGAACAAUUUUAGAAAUCCUAAAACUCAAGUACAUACAGAAUACAUGAGACCCUCAAAGUAAAAUGGUGUGCAUGCUGAAUUCUUUUCCCCUGAUGACUUUAUGAAAAAACUUGUGUUUCUCUCAUACACCUUCUUCUUAAACUCCACAGUUCUUAGCUGAAGAUGCAUUUUCAGUACCAGCACAAAUUUGCUACACAGGAAAAAUAUUCUUUACAAGAAAAAAAUAGAUAUAUACACAUAAACAAAUGUAAAAACAUUUACAGUUAAGUACAAAUUGGUGUGAGUCUGCUUGCUUUGACUGCCUGUCACUUUGCUACUGUUACUGUUUAUUAUUCCCCAUUGUGUAACAAUAAAGUAGAAUUCUAUUCUAUUCUAUUCUAUUCUAUUCUAUUCUAUUCUAUUCUAUUCUAUUCUAUUCUAUUCUAUUUUGUUGCUUUUCACUCAUACAGACUUCUUAUAGCAUUUCUUUAGAAAAAAAAGGAAACCCUAAACCAAGGUUAUUUAUUGAAGGUUGACUUCCUGGUGGUUAGUUUCAUUAUUUCUUUUCUACAGAGUAGAAUAAGUCACUUCCGUCCUCUUACUUUCGUAAUGAUUAAUAUUGCCCACACAGAGAGUCAUCAGGAUGAAAUGUAACUCGCGUGGCUGCGAGGUUGUGUGGCCUUGGAGAUAGGAAAUUAAAUCAGAGGUAAAAUUCUCCACCAAGCACAUCCAGGUGUGAAGAUUAUUAAACAACCAAUCUCUAUAUCUGCUAGAUAAGCUAAGCAAUCUCAGUUUGCUGCAGGGGGCAGGCCUCCAGUCCUCCGUUAAAUUAUUUUCCAAGGCCAAGUUUAACUUGUGCAGGAAAUAUAUAUGCAUCGCACUUGCACAUGAUCCAUGUUCUAUUUUCAUGUUUUCAUUAAUUAUGCUUUCAAUUUAUUGCUCUUGUUUGCAUUUUUGGGUAAUUUUUGUGAACUGGGGUGAUUUUGACUAAACAGAACAAUUUUUCAGCUGUAUGGUCUUAAUGUGCAUCUCCAAGGAUGACUGAUUAAUAUUUGGGUUUAAAAAAUGUCUAAACAGUGGAUUAUUUUUGACAUAUGUUUUCAUUCCUACAAAAAUCCGUAUUCCAAUAUAGCCAGGGGUAGAAACUUGUACUUUUUACUAUCAUUGACAACCAAGGAUGCUUAUUUGUGCAAAAAAUAAUAUAAACACAUAAGAAACAAAUUUAAAAUAGAGGUUAUAAAAGUGCAGCAUUUGAUUUUGUGUUUUCAAAUAAAGUUCAAACUAGAUUUAAUUUUUCAUUUGUACUUCAUAUUCUAAUAAACACUAAUAAAAAAGCAAUGAAUCUAAGUUACUUUGGAUAACCAACUUCAUUCAGCCUAUAAAUAUUAAGACAGGGCAGCUGAGGUUCACAUCCUCUGUUAGAACAUUGGCUGUUCAAUUCUCAUCUUCCAGUGAAUUUCCUUAUUCAGCUUGUUUAAUAAAACAACCAAUAAGUUAAAAAAUUUAUUGGAGGAAGCCUGAUUCAGACUUCCAAAUGAUUAGUCACUGUUUUGCCGUGAUAACUUCAGGGAUCAUGAUUUUUCUUUUCCCUGUAUGUGCACAUUUCUGUCUCCUUCCUGGUGAGUCACUAUUGAACCUCAAAGGCUUCAUCCUAAAAUGACUCCAGUACAAAUGAACCACUCUAACGCAGGCUUUAGGUCCUUUAGGAACAAUGGCCACAAAUCUUAGUCAAAUGCUGACAGAUUUAUGAAAUAAAGAACCCAUGCAUAAAUUAUGAAUUUCAUAAUUACCUCAGAAAAAAUGUAGUUAGAUAUUUUUAAUUGUUAAUCCCCUUUCAUAGAAAUUUCCCUUCCCAUUAACUGCCUGUCAAACUCAGUCAAUUAAUCUGAGGUGUUACUGCGUUGAUGAUGCAUUCAGGCUCCAGCAUCUUAAACACUGAGCAGUGAGCAGCUCAUGUAGUUUGGGGUCGAUGUUGUUCAGACAUCCUGCUCUCCAGUUCUGUGUUUGGGGAAGUUCGCUAACCUCUAAGAACAGUCAGACAGAGUUUGGGGAUCUGAGCUGUACUUUCUCUGUACAGCUCAGAAGAUGUUACUGAUUCAUUUUCUUUGAAGAGGUGAACAAUAUAUGUUUAUACCCUGUAUAAAAGAUAUCUACAUUAUUUCUCACUGCAAGAUAUUAAACCAGUUCAAGCCAAUUCCUGGCCAGGGGCCAUUUGCUGCAUGUCUUCCUGUUCUCUCUCUGCCCUUCCUCCUUCCAUCAAAUCUUAAAUAAAGACCACUAGUGCCAUGAAAUUCUAAAAAACAAAACAAAACAAAACAAUUUCUCUCUUUUAUUUGUGUAAAAAUGUUUUUUUUWAAUUUUUUUUUAAUCUUUCUCUGCUAAGCCGGAUUGAGUCCCUUUGGAUCAUCCUUAUUAUUAAAGCAGUGUUAAUUUUCUCUUUUAACAUUUCUCUUUUUUCCAAAAUUUUAUCAAAAUUCCUAUACUAUAUGUAUUAUGUUUAAUGUCAUUUUCUUUACCUUUGUUCCUUUCUUCUACUUAGACACUACAAUUUGCCUUGUGCUUUUGAAAAUUGGUAUGAUAAAUGCUGAAAGAGUUUUGUAUAAUCACAUUCAUGUCACAUAAGUGUAAUUGAGACUCUAACUAAUGCAAUCAGCUUUUCAUAAACAGUAUAUUAUGUCAACUUUGACUGUGUUUGUGCAUUUUUGUUGAAAUGCCGUAAAGAUGAAACUCGGAAGUGAAGCAUUGCAGAAACCUGGCUUGCCAAACUUGACUUUUCAUAAAAUGCAAAUUUUUUAUUUCAUUAAUUCUUUUCACUUUAAAUACAGCCCAGAUUAAAUCUUCUGUUGUAGUUAAUCAUUUGUACAAAAUUCAAAACGCUGCGUCUUCAGUUUAAUUCAGUCCCUCUCUCCCACCCUCCCAGUUCUGUCCUCUUGUUAUCAGAGCAGUAAAAUUAUACCAUGUGUUGCAGGACAAGAUUAUUUUUGCAGUCUAUAUCAGUAUGAUUAAAGCUUUAAUUUUCAAUGCAUUAAACUGUUGUUGAUUUAUGUUUAAGAGGAAUACUGGCCUGAAAGCUCAUAUAUAAGCUUUUCAAGAGACUUUUAACAAAAGCACACUUUCUCACUCUCUGUGCCAAUUGUUUAUUGCUUUAUACAUAAUUAAAACUCUUAUGAAUACAGAAUCUAAUCUUCCAAAUGUUUUUUUGUUUUGUUUUGUUUUACCAAGGUCGGUAUUUGAGAGAAUGGGCCAUUAAAAGUCAAUUUUCCAAAUGUGCUUUCAGGGAUGAAUUGAAAGCAGCGGGAAGCUUCAAGAGGAACUCGGUCUGAUUAUUGUAUUGUAUGUUUACAGCUAAUUUAUUAGUAAYGCUGCACACAGUCUUGUUUUGAAUUUUCAACACCAACACAUUUUUAAAAAAAUAUCUACAAAAUAGCCCAAAACAAAGAAAAUGCUGUGGCUUUGCAACAGGAAGGUCUUGGAAUCAAAUUCUGGCUUGGGACUUUUUGUAUGGAGUUUGUUCUCCAUCUGCAGAUUUGGGCUCUCUCCAGGUACUCUUGAUUUGGGGGAAAAAAAUCGUUUUCCAGUAAAAACAGUAUUUACAACUUAAAAGACUAAGUUGUACUUAAUUUGAUCCUGCAAACUACCCUUUAUGCAUCUUCAUGACUGUUAAUUAACUGAAGUUGAGAAUUUAUGUCAAGAGGAUGAACGAAUGUACAAUGAAACUAUUUAUAUCUGAGCUGCUUGGUUAUUACAGCAGAGGCUGGUUGCUAGUCCAAAGGUGUUUUAUUAACCAACUAUGGUCAACCUGAUACAUCCAUGUAAAGAUGAGCCAACUUAAAGGUAUGGCAGUAUAUUCUGAAGGAUAACUACUUACAAACAAUAAUUUAGCAGGUGUUUCUUUUCUACACGGAAAUCAGAUUUUCAAAAUAAUAAUAAUAAAAGAAUGUUUUAACACCUUUACAAUUUAUAUUAGAAUAAUGGUUGAUUUUCUGCUUUAAAUAAAAAGCGAUUAACUUGUGUUGUACAUGUUUCUUUUAUUACUGUAUUUCUACCCAACAAUGUCACACUGUGAGAAUGUCACACCGGAUCAUUCCCACUAGUUAAUGUGUGAAGCACCGUGGACACAUACAAGGCGUAAGAGAGAAAAGAGAGAGAGAAACCUUGACUCUACCUUGUCAGACGCUUUAGAGUAAUUAAACAGGAACAGAAUAUCAAAUGCUCCAUGAAGAGUGGAUCAGUGAGGAGGAGCUUGUGGUGGUGCUGUUUAUGCAUGUGUGCAUGUGUGCUUGUGUGCGUCCGGCUCCACAUUGCUGGCGCUGGGACAAUGCAGGGUGAAGUUGUGAAGCUGUAUGAUGAAUGUCGCUCCAUAACAAGAGCUGAAGGGGAACGAUUAAACCAUGUCCACCAAUCACCUCCUGUGGAGCCUGAAGGAAACAACCAGGGAAACACAAGCUUGGCUCUCAGAAGCCCUGACAGCAGAGGACACACACAGAUGCACACACGCUGGUUAUUUUCACAUAAAUGCUUUGUAACAGUUUUUUCCCCCUUUAUAUUUACAAACCAAAUGAAAACAGUGUAAAAUGAUGCUACAUUUGAUGAAGGACGUAAAACUUGUUGAAAUUCUUCCAUGUCGAUCGGCAGAUACCCACUCCCUUCCAUGUUUGUAAUUCAUGUCCAUGAUUUAAUGUGAAAUGUGCUGAAAAAUAAGUUUUGUUUUAGCCAUUAAAGCAUUUUUUAUGGAUUUUGUUUAUAUUCAUGAAAUUAUGUUCAAGUGAAAAGUGGGCAAACCCCUAUUUUAGCUGAAUUUAAAAGCAAAGCAGCAUUUUCCAUUAAUAGCAUUUACAAUAUAUAGCCAAAGUCCAUAUUGUAAAACCAGACAUGCACACACAGCGCAGCGUAGCACAGCACAGCCCACAGGGUCUCAGGGCACUCUGGAGGUCAAACAGUUACAAAGCAGCUUUGAUUCCCUGCAGUUUUAAUGACUUUGAGAGACCGUGUUCACUUUUCUUUUUAUUCCGGUAAAUUAUUGUGAUGAUCCUUGUGCUGCUGUGCAGCGCAGGAGGGAUUACUGCCAUGAGGGACAUUAGGCCUUGAGGAGCAGGAGGAGGACAUUUUUAACUAUGUAUUAAAUUGUCCAACAUCCAGUG